UCUGGCUCUUUCAGGGUCCGAGUUGUAAUUUGUAGAAGAUGCUUUGGGUGUGGUUCUGGUUUAAGUUCUUUGGAAUAUUACAUCAUAGAGGGUGAGAAUCCCGUAUGUGACCAGUCGCCGCGCCCGUGUAAAGCUCUUUCAACGAGUCGAGUUGUUUGGGAAUGCAGCUCAAAAUGGGAGGUAUAUUUCUUCUAAAGCUAAAUAUUGGCCAGAGACCGAUAGCGCACAAGUAGAGUGAUCGAAAGAUGAAAAGCACUUUGGAAAGAGAGUUAAACAGUACGUGAAAUUGUUGAAAGGGAAGCGCUUGCAACCAGACUUGCACGCAGUUGAUCAUCCGGUGUUCUCACCGGGGCACUCUGCUGCGUUCAGGCCAGCAUCGUUUUCGGUGGUUGGAUAAAGGCCUUGGGAAUGUAGCUUCUUUCGGGGAGUGUUAUAGCCCUCGGUGCAAUGCAGCCUACCGGGAGCGAGGACCGCGCUUCGGCUAGGAUGCUGGCGUAAUGGUUGUAAGCGGCCCGUCUUGAAACACGGACCAAGGAGUCUAACAUCUAUGCGAGUGUUUGGGUGUCAAACCCAUACGCGUAAUGAAAGUGAACGGAGGUGAGAACCCGUAAGGGUGCAUCAUCGACCGGUCCUGAUGUCUUCGGAUGGAUCUGAGUAAGAGCAUAGCUGUUGGGACCCGAAAGAUGGUGAACUAUGCGUGAAUAGGGUGAAGCCAGAGGAAACUCUGGUGGAGGCUCGCAGCGGUUCUGACGUGCAAAUCGAUCGUCAAAUUUGCGCAUAGGGGCGAAAGACUUAU
rnacentral:rRNA from 1 species